rnacentral:rRNA from 1 species
AUUCAUCUCCGGGGGUAGAGCACUGUUUCGGCUAGGGGGCCAUCCCGGCUUACCAACCCGAUGCAAACUGCGAAUACCGGAGAAUGUUAUCACGGGAGACACACGGCGGGUGCUAACGUCCGUCGUGAAGAGGGAAACAACCCAGACCGCCAGCUAAGGUCCCAAAGUCAUGGUUAAGUGGGAAACGAUGUGGGAAGGCCCAGACAGCCAGGAUGUUGGCUUAGAAGCAGCCAUCAUUUAAAGAAAGCGUAAUAGCUCACUGGUCGAGUCGGCCUGCGCGGAAGAUGUAACGGGGCUAAACCAUGCACCGAAGCUGCGGCAGCGACGCUUAUGCGUUGUUGGGUAGGGGAGCGUUCUGUAAGCCUG